GGACGUUUGGCCGAGCGGUUAAGGCGCCGUCUUAAGGUUACCGCCUCUUUGGAGGUGGAGUCUCGGCGGUUCGAAAGAGCGCAGGUUCGAGUCCUGCAGCGUUCA
rfam:Sphaerulina musiva SO2202 unplaced genomic scaffold SEPMTscaffold_12, whole genome shotgun sequence.